UUAACAGGAUUAGAUACCCUGGUAGUCCAUGCCGUAAACGUUGGGCACUAGGUGUGGGGGACAUUCCACGUUUUCCGCGCCGUAGCUAACGCAUUAAGUGCCCCGCCUGGGGAGUACGGCCGCAAGGCUAAAACUCAAAGAAAUUGACGGGGGCCCGCACAAGCGGCGGAGCAUGCGGAUUAAUUCGAUGCAACGCGAAGAACCUUACCAAGGCUUGACAUGAACCGGAAAGGCGUAGAAAUACGUCCCCCACUUGUGGUCGGUUUACAGGUGGUGCAUGGUUGUCGUCAGCUCGUGUCGUGAGAUGUUGGGUUAAGUCCCGCAACGAGCGCAACCCUCGUUCUAUGUUGCCAGCACGUGAUGGUGGGGACUCAUAGGAGACUGCCGGGGUCAACUCGGAGGAAGGUGGGGAUGACG
rnacentral:rRNA from 1 species